AAGUGUCGUCUGCUUUCUUUAUUCCAAAAAUUUCGAAAAAGUCAGUGACAAAAGUUUAAGAUUUAUAUUGUUAUUUAUUUAUUUUCUUUUGAUAACCGUCAUGCUCCAUGCUGUUUAGCGGAUUUGAGUCCAGAGCCAUCCAUCAUACCCACACAAUGUGCAAGUUUUUCUUGUGCAGGUGUUAACCUGUCACCAGCAACAAUCUCAGGAUCAUCGUCUGGGAUAAUAAGCAUCCCAUUGCUUUGGAAUACAAUGUCAAUCGAGUUAUGGAUCUCUCUUCUUCCCCUUUUCACGAGUAUUCGAGUAUUCACGAGGACACCCUUUGUCCCUAUCCCGUCUGGUGUAACUCUAAUCUUCAGCGGAUGGAUGGAGCAACUUCGGAUGCCUGGCUGUAUUUCCCAGGCAUAAUGGUAGGACAAAAUUGAUCUCUAUUCUUCCUUUUUGACAACUUUUGGUGGCGUUGAUUAUAAAUAGUUACGGAAUACGUUUAUUCCCAAGCUAGGCGGUUGACUGCAACUGUUUUCUCUCUUUGUUUUUGUUUUUUCUCAGUAAUGAUUCACUAAAAUUAUUUGUCAAACUACUGUGCAGAUUAGGCUUGUUUUGUCUUUCACAACUUUUACUGUGGGUAAACCAUCACAUUUGAAAAUAUUUGAAUUUGAAACACUUGAAGCAAAGUGCAUCAAGACCAUUUUUUUUUUACCAAGAAUUAACUGCCAACACCUCGUUCCAAAUUAUGUUGUUGCCAGUUUUUAUCACUUUAUAGAUACCUACUUGAACAAUGAGAAAAUCCCCAAUAUUGUUUAAAUCAUUUUCGAUCCGUUAUACCGAUUGUAACGUCCGUUAGAAAAACAUGAUGCGAUAUUCCGCCGUCAAAUGUGUUAUAAAUGCCUGAUUGAAAAUUCGCUGGUGUUUCCGACAUCAUGUUACUCAAUCUCAAAGAGUCCAAUCACGAACUCGACAGAUCUAUUCUCGCUGGCGAUGACUCUUAACAACUACUCAUAUACCUAUCAGAGACGAACAGCCCAACUUUUCCUUGUUUCUAAAUUUAUAUAUGAUGACAAGCGUUAUUAUAGCUUUUCCUAGAACGCUCGUGAUUGUGUGGCUUAGACACACACUUGUGUGAACUUGUGAACGAGGAAAGCACUCUUGCGCCAUGUCGUUUAUAAAUGAGAAAGAAGCGCUUGCUGUACAGAACACGGCGGGCUUAUUUGUCUGAUGGGCAGGAGGACAGCAGUACGUGGUUGUGUGCUGCGCGGGAGGGAAAGUGAUGGACAAGUUUUGCAUAAGAAAGUUGACGCUCUUCUUCUCUUGCUGCCUUCUAUUCCGACUGGCAGUACCGUCCCGUGGGGGCUAUUUUCAAAUCUCCACCGCCGCCGCUGCUGUGCCGCUGUUAUGCUAUUCCGUCCGGGUGUUGAUGUUUGUUACGCGUCUCGGUCGAUGGCCUCGUUAUAAUAUGCAUUGCCAGCGCACAGCACUCGCUCACAUCAUUCACGAUACAACGAGUACCGAGAUGGUGUGACUAACACACACAACCGGCGGGACAACAUGAAUUGAAUGCAUCAUAAGGUGAGAACUUUAGCGGUUAAAAUCGUCCACUGUUGUUGACUUUGCGCCGGAUAUGUAUAGGGACACACCGACUCGUCUAAUAUUCGCUGCUAUAUUUGUUUUGGUUUUCACGGCCCACUUUAAUUCGUAUUUCACGACGAAGGCUCACAUCAAAAUAGCGUCAGGCGAUAGACAGACGUGCCAGGGUCGUCGCCGCCGUCGUCGCCUAAUGACAUCAAGCGACUUGCUGGCGUUAUUACGUUACAGUUUAUUAGACAUCAUCUAUUACAGCGUGCGCCACUCAAUUAGUCGACGACGGAACGAGACUCGCCUUUGUCUCCAAACAGUUUUCUAACAAAAAAAAAACUAAAUUUGAAAAUCAGAAAGUAAAAAAAAAAAGCCAUAGAAAUUUAAGGCGGAAAUGACAGAAAAGGGGGGAUGAACGAAACGCCGAGAAGCUCUUCUAGGUUUGAAGAUGAUCCAAUUGAGCUGUCUCGACAGUAUACACAUUCCCAUCAGCGUGAGUCUAUAUAGUACGAAUUUGGGCGUGAGUUGGAGCGCGCUCACGAGUUUUGCGGACUGCAUGGCCGCCAGCAGUCGUUAUUAUUAUUCCCAGAAUCGAAUCACCAUCCUCUUCUCACUCUCCUUUAGAUGAUGUAAUACAUUUUCUUGCUGGUUGGGCGCAUGGAACUAACAUUCGGGCGUCUCUUUUAGAUUGCUAGCAUAACACCCAAUGGGAAGAAGAUGAUUCCAAAUCCCCGAGCUGAUUUCGAUCCUCCGAAAUGAGGACGACCAAUAAGAGAGAUGGCGCAGUGCUGCAUUAUGAUGUAGCUUUAUUUACUUUUCUUUGGCACUUCUUGUCUUCCAAAUCUUUUCAAUCCUUUUUUGACUCACUCCCCAAUAACCCGGCACAUAUGUGCCGUUAUUCGCUAUACAUAAUAUACUAUAGGGCAUCGGUAAUCGGGCGCAAAGCCCCGCGACUGCUGUUGAUGACAUGCGCCUCCCAACAAAGUGGAGGGACCAAGUCGAGCAAACACGACGAUCCAUUAGAGAGAAGCAGAGCCCAGCCAUGGAGAAAGUAAAGUAGAUAUCGAAGAGAUGGGGAGAUGUAUACGCGCGGCCAGCAGAGGGAGGGAGUUGUUGAUAUGGGAAACUAUGGCGCGGAAGAACGUGACCGACGCUCGUCUUACUCUCUUACGCUGAUGGCUUCAUAUCCACCGAGAAUAUAGGACACACACACACACACACAGAUUUUCGUGAUAUAAUACAGCAGCAGCAGACAUAGACGAGGAGGCACUUGACGUUAAUUGGACUGAAUCAGGCACGGGCCCCUCUUCUCCACAGGGAGAGGUGCAACUUUGGAGACGAUGAUGAAGCGAUAAUGAAACUAUAACCCCCCGCACUCGAAAAUCGAAUGCCCACGUGCAAACGUGCUGCAUGCAUCUUUGGCCUGUAAUCUAAUGAGACUAAAUACUUAACUAUUUAUGUGUGGAUGGGAAUAAUACUGUUAGACGAGAUUGAAUGUCAAAACCGGGCCGUUCCCCCGUGUUUCCAAAAAUUGAUGUCCUUAAUAGAUUAUUUAAUCCGAAACAGCGUCUAUAAACUCAGUUAGGAUUAUGUGUACUAUUCACCGAUUUGUUUUGAACCCGGCAGCCCAGCGUAUAGUGAACGCAAAGCCGAUUUCUGAUAUACAAAGGAAAAGAUACGUAUAAUUCCUUUCCGGCCAUUAUUUCCAGAUUUCAUCGGAAACAACAUGAUUAUAUUAUUGAUUUAGACUUGAAUACUGCAUCGUUUGCUAGUUCAAUUACAAGCUGCGUACGAUCUGAUAUCCAUUGUUAACCUUUUCAUGACUGCGUACUGCUGUGUUGGGCGGCGACACUAUCGGGAGGUCAUUUUCUGCUGAGUUCUGUGCGAGGGGAAAAUCUGAAAUGUCUAUUUAAAUCAAACAAACGUUCCGUCAGAAUAUGUCGAAUCUACUUUUGAAAUGUUUAAAAGGGGACAAAGUUGAUCCGUGACUGAAAUGCUUGAGUCAUGGGGCCUUUUGUUCGCUUCCAUCUCGACCGACCUCUUGUGGAAAACUCGAGCCGCAAUGGAUGAGGGCGACAUAACACGGACGACAAACAGGACAAAAAUAGUCGAGGGGAUUUUUUAUAUUCAAUGGGGACUCGAUAAAAGGGACGACAGACGCCAUGAAAAUGCAAAGCUCAUCUUCAACCGACAGAAAACACAAUACACGCGACAAUUGUUCUUUCCUUCAACUUUGAUAGACGACUUCAUUUUUCUGCGAGUAAUAUAUAACGGAGAUCAAGCUCUUGACUUAAUAUAGCGAUUACUUUCAAGUUGUAUCACAUCCCACGUUCUGAUUAAGAACUGGGAUGGGGUUUGUUGGCGCGUCUCACCCUGUUUGCUGCUCCGCGGCUCAUCUUCGUGUAUUACAAUCUCGAUGUAAAUGUAAUAAUAUCGGGCAGCAGAGGACAAAACGAAAGGGCGACUCUUUUUGUCUGCUGGAUAAAUAGAAAAGGAAGUAGAUAAGAGAUGUGACUGGAUAAUAGAGAUUGCAAAUCGAAGGACAUCCUCCAUAUUAUUUGAGUAGGAGAUGAGUAUACUAUAUAGCCGAUGAUAUCGUAUAUGACAAAUAGAUAUAGACCGGCCGUUUCUAUAGAUCUGGCUAGAUAGGAGAAUCGUCGUUGUGCACGAGACAAACACUUUGGCAAUCAUGCAUCGAGCAAACAUGACGAGAGAGAAAAAAGCGAGAAAGAGAAAAGUGGAAACAGACGAAUGGGAACUCUUGCAAGGAAAUAGGAGAAGAUUGACGUGAAACAUUCAAUCGCGACGGAUCCUUUAUCUCUUCACAAUAGCUCUACUCUGCUGCACUAUUGUUUGUCGAAUAACUCGCCAGUCUUUCGUAAAUCGAUUCCCAAUACUACUAUUCACCCGCAUAAUAUCUAAUGUAGGUAUCCGCAAAUGGGCUUGGCCAACAUUUGCAACGGCGGGCCAGAAAUCCCAUCGCAGUCGAUUUGUAUUCCUGUCCAUAUUUGCAGAAACUCGAGUUUCACUUUCUAUCUCCAACGGCAUAGACUCUGUGUCCAUAUUUAUCUCUUGCACUCCCUGUUCCUAUAUAGAGAUAAGCCAACAAGAACUGGCUCUCUCACUUAUAAAAAAGCUUUCCCACAAUGGGCCAUUAACCGUCAAUUUUGCGCUGCUUUUAAGGAGGAUUUCUUCAAAAUAAAUCCCCGAUAACUGAACCGUCAAUUACUCAAGAUUGUGGCAGGAAAGCCCAUUAAGUGUAGUACAUCUAUCCAACAGUGAAAAUGACGUCUAGUGUUUUCCUCCGAGAGCCCAGGGAGGGUGUCAGAUGAUCUAGCUGCGGCGGCAGCAGCGCUAUAUAAUACGACUGGCUGCUUUUUCGAGAGGAAUAAGGUUUUCGCUUUUUAUACGCGACAUUGCGGAGGCGGCCGUCUCGAGGAUUAAUCCUCGGGACCUCGUUACGCAUUUGAUGUCGUCACAGACGUGUCAACUGCACAACUCGUUAGCGAGAAAGAUGUUGGAUGAGAUGAGAGAUAUCGGAAACAUUCGCCCUUCGCUCUUAUCUUCUCGGCGGAAGUGUAGUAGAUCCUCUUCCCGCUGGUUAACAGGAGAGAGACGACCAGAUGAUCUUUGAUUGUAACUCGAGCACCGAAUGGAAUGCGUCACGUGUCGUUCAUCAAGGCGAUCGCAUUCAUCGUCUCAAAGUCUCGUGGCCGAAAAAAUGUCUAUCGCAGGACUUUGACCUCGCCGUAAUCCUCCGCUAAUAUUCAACCGUCGAUGUGCCGUCACAUCAUCCGUCUAGCAACAACAAUAACAACCACGGCCAGUAGCACUAAGACCGCGCGCGUCAAAUGCAGACAACGUCGACGCCGAGUGUUGUCUUGGGAAUCGCAUCUGUUGGGGGAGCUCGAGCGUCAUCGCGCCGAUAUCUAUGAGCGCCUUUAUAGAGCCGCCAGGAGAGGGCGUGAUUAUGACAUGUCUAACUUCUCCGGCGAAUAUAUCUCUCUAAGCGAAGGCAUUGACGUCAUCCAGCCGCUUGCUUCCGGCGUCUCCCAUUCCCUUACUGCUGCUGCGGUUUCUAAUGUAAUUAUCUCUCUUGGCGGCGUCGAGUUUGGCUUGUCAUCACCGCCGCGCUCUCGUCCGUCGCGGAGAUAUUAUCGAGCAGAGAUAUUCACAUGCGAAAGACGAGGGCCCAAAUUAGUUGUGUGUGUUUCUUUUCCCUCCCACAAUAUCUAUUUCGUUUCUUUUUUUUCUGUUUUAAUUUCCAUCUCAUUUGAUGAUGAUGAAGACAGGCAAAUAUGUUGAUAUGACGUCGCUGGAUACGUUUCCAACGUCAUUCGGCGGCGGCGUCUCUAGAUGCGACUCAUAUAAUGGAGUCCCGCCUUAUUUUUCUAUCGUCUGCGGCCCGGUUGACACAAGAUACCGGGAAUAUUAUUGCCAUUAAGAGAUGAAAUAACAUGUGCUGAUGGGACGGAGAAGCUAUUCGAAUUAGAAAUUGGGCAAAACAGAAAGACAACGCCGGCGGGACGACAGUGACAGUUACUCGGCAACAUUGUCCGGGCUGCAGCAGCAGCUAGAGAGUAGACGAAGAAGAGAUGAACUUUGUCAAAUCAAAUGUUGCGACGAAAAGGACGCGGGCUAUUUAGCUUUGAAAACAAGGAGAAAAUGAAGAGAGAGGGGGGAAAUGUUGCCAUGGCGACGGGAGAAGAAAUAUAUAGAUCUGCACGAUGAUGACGUGCGACACAAAGACGUAUACAAUACCGUUUGCCGUGUAGAAAUAAGUUACUAAUGAGGAAAUCCAGGAACGAACGCCCGAAAAAGACAAAAACGAAUAGAAUAACGUCAAGCGAGAAUCAGACAUAUCCUGGCUGGUUGGCGCAUAAUAGUCCGGGGUUCCGAAAUAACUGCGACUAGCUACGUAUACCGUACGGUACGUCGAACCCUCUAAAUGAUUAUGAAGAGAUGAAGGACCAGCAGCAGCACAGCAGAUGCCGUGCGCAAAUAUUUCCCGGAGGAUUUAGAACUGGAGUGCAAAGGAAUCCGCCACGCAAACAUGCGUCACGGAAUGGAGGAGAGAUGAUGUCGCUCUGCCAUUGUCGGGAACAAAACCCGCCCUAGAUUUAAUUAUCUGUGAACAAUGGAGAAUAAGAAUUCGCGGCAUUAUGCGCAAUCUUUUUCACCACGGAGCAGCAGCGGACGAAUAGAUGAACGACUAGACUCUGUUGGAUGCUGGGCACGCCGGAAGUAGAAUAAGAAAUAAGUGCAGCGUUUCGAAUAAAAUCAUCAAAUAGAUAGAUGUUCUCUGAAGCUGACGCGCUUCCGGCCCAUGUUAGACUAGACUAUACACGUAUGGAGUUAACUGUGAAAGGAAGCCGAUAUUCUUGGAAGUCAAGGACUUUUUCCUACUCCAGCGCCAGCACGCCGGAAUCAAAUGAUAAAAAACAGACAAAGGAUUGGAAACAAUAGUUUCGAGAGACACAAAAUGGAUCAUAUCCAGUCAGCUACUGUAUACUCUGCGCUAAAGGGGGAUAAAAUAAAAUAAAAAUGGAGAGCGUCGUCGUCGUGAUAAUAAUGCAACUGUAAUACAGUAGUGCAGCUGUAUACAUUGUCGGAUGUAUAUAUAUACGGAGGAUUUCAAGCGGAUGAAAGGAAUUUUCCUCGCCUCUGCUGAGCUCUUUAAUGUCGCUCGUAAAUAAUUCCAAUCUUGUCAGGGACAAUGUUUAUAUCUCCCAUUCUGUACAGCAUAAAAGUCCUAUGCAGCAGGGGCUGCAGUGUGCCGUUCAGUUCAAAACUAUUGCCGUUUCAAGGCUAAAAUUGCCUCUAUAUAAUACGAUACGAUGUAAUAUAGCGUUCAUUUAAACCAUUUCAAAACUUUUCAAGACUUUUCCUCCCUGGGCUGUAAAGCACAACAAACUGCUCUGUUAAAGAACCAUCUUUUCUCUGCCUUGUGAUAUCCGCAGAGCAUUUCUCAUUUUUUAACAAUCGACGCCCAACCAAUUACGGGCCAGGGGAAUUUGGUAAUUUAAGAGACUAAAGUUUUGAUGCCUCGUUUUCUGGCAGAGCUAUCUUGGAUUCUAAGAUGUCGGGCUAUAUUCUAGGAAAGAGUUGUUGCGUGCUGUGUACUAAUAUAAGGCACUUGGCUUGCAUGGCGAAUACUUGGCACUCUUAAGAUUCAUUCUAAACUUUUCAAGAACUCUGUUGGCAAGUUGAUCUUCGUCAGCGGACACGUACGGUCGUCUACGCAUACAACAUUCACGGGCUAAAAGUUGCCGCUGUGUGUACCGAAGGAGUAACAUCAAUCAUCAAGUUUAUUCCACCGCGAAAACGUCAUUCGUCGUUGAAACUUUUACAAAAGGCGGGCGAUGAAUGGAUGCACUGAAUCUGGCGAUUCAAUCAAUAUUGCUUCGCGACACAACCAAGUGUGAGCAAUUAUGAAUUAUGAUUAAUUAGUACCUAGCCUUUUCCCUCAUGCAGAUCAAAUUCACAGACUGAAGAAUGUUUUUUUUAAAUGAUUUUGCUUUAUGAAUUAUGUGCGCUUGAAUCAAGCAGCGUAAACGCUGUUAUGUUUUAGAGAAGUUUGAACUUUAUAGCUCUCAAAAUUUAUACUAUCAAAGGACGAAACGUUGAACCAUCAACACUUAUUUAUUUUAGUCUCCUUACUCGCGAGCAUUUGGGCACUCGAGAUUUUAUGAAAACGAUCAAAGUCUUUUUGUAAAGAAUCAUCAAUCCCUUGUCAUGAUCAAAGCAAUUCUACCUCUCGUUAAUAUCGAAACGUAAAAUUUUCUGAAUAAUAUUGAAAGAGAAAUGCCAUUUCACUGCGACAGUUUAAGUUUAUUCAAUAACUUUGUAUCGUAAACUUGUAAUAAAAAAAUGUAUAUGAUUAGACAAAGAAUGGUUCAUCUUUAACCCACAACUCUUCUAGUGCUUGGUGAACAAGGGAACUCGUUUCGUAGCGUUCAUUCCAAGAUUGGAUCAUUCCCGAAACACUGGAUCCAUACUCCACUAGCUUCACCGUCUCCCCUAUAUCGUAAAUAUUUUUUUUAAAACGGAUUUUCUUGAGAAACGGGAUUUACUUCAUACCUUCAAGUCGGGUGUUGGACUGGACAAAAAUCUUCCUGGGCUGCUUCUUUUCAAGAAUCAUAGCUCGCCACUCAGCAAAUGGAUAUGGGCCAGUUGAAGAGACUUCAGAAUAUUUAGCAUACAUGGCCCGAGCAGCUUCUACAUUGCCGGUCGACUUGUAAACCUUAGAUUUAUUAGCGAAAAAUCAAAAUUAUGCAAAAAGACCAUCAUUAAGCGAAAAAAGGACGAAUAAAUUACUUGAAGUUUACGAAGGAAAAUGCCAAGGGCUUCUUUUCCCACGGUGCUGAUUUUGGAUCUGUCGAGCGAAAGCAACAAAUCAUCUUUGCCGUCACUUCCGAUUACCUUGGCAACAUUUACCAAACCCUGGCCAGCCUCCAAAAGCACUUGAAGGAUAACGUAUCGGGCUUGCGAAUGAGCCUAUAAUUCAAAGAAACAUUACAGAAGCAGCUCUACCUAAAUACUCUGCCGAACGUUUUACAGACCUGCAUCCACGACUGCGUUUUCGGGUUGUAAAACUCCAUGGCUCUCGUCGAACCAUUUAGAAGCAGACUGAGCCAGUUAACGUAAAUAAUAUCCUGUGCCUUUUCACCUUCGUGACCGAAAAUCCUUAAUCACACAAAAAACGAUCGUGUCAUAAAAUCAAUAAGAAGAAAAUAAAUGUUAAAAGCUUAUUACUUUAAAACGUCAUCAUUGAGAGACAAAUAAAGGCCAACACAUUCUGCUCGGCACUCUUCGUAUGAAGAUGAAAUUGUAGAAAACUUCGAGUCGUAGGUUUCACCUUCUUCGUACCACGACAGCUACACACAAACGUAAUUAAGAUAUUAUAAAGCUCUAAUCAAGAAAUUUUGCAACAAACCUCUUCACCAGAGUCCAGUGAUGCCUUUACGCUAUCCAUGUCGAAGUUGUAACUACCAUCGGGAUUUUUACGGAACAAUUUACCGCUACCAUGGCCCAGCAAUUCGUGCAGACCGACUUGCAAUUCAAACGACUCGGUGUUGUGACGAAUCAAAAGUUGCUUGUCUGCUU